rnacentral:rRNA from 1 species
UACGGAGGGUGCGAGCGUUGUCCGGAAUCACUGGGCGUAAAGGGCGCGUAGGCGGCGCGGGAAGUCAUCGGUGAAAGCUCAGGCUCAACUCUGAGUCGGCCGGUGAUACUCUCGUGCUUGAGCACUGUAGAGGCAGGUGGAAUUCCGGGUGUAGCGGUGGAAUGCGUUAGAGGAUCCGGAAGAACGACCGGAUGGCGCAAGGCGG